AUUGAACGCUGGCGGCAGGCCUAACACAUGCAAGUCGAACGAGUGGCGGACGUGUGAGUAAUGUCUGUGAAUCUGCCUGAUGGAUGGGGAUCACUACUGGAAACGGUUGCUAAUACCGCAUACCAUCAGAUGUGCCCAGGUGGGAUUAGCUAGUUGGUGGGGUAACGGCCUACCAAGGCGACGAUCCCUAGCUGGUCUGAGAGGAUGACCAGCCACACUGGAACUGAGACACGGUCCAGACUCCUACGGGAGGCAGCAGUGGGGAAUAUUGGACAAUGGGCGAAAGCCUGAUACAGCCAUGCCGCGUGUAUGAAGAAGGCCUUCGGAUUGUAAAGUACUUUCAGCGGGGAGGCGUUACCCGCAGAAGAAGCACCGGCUAACUCCGUGCCAGCAGCCGCGGUAAUAC
rnacentral:rRNA from 1 species